rnacentral:rRNA from 1 species
GAUGAACGCUGGCGGCGUGCCUAAUACAUGCAAGUCGAGCGCUGGAGCUCUAGCUUGCUAGAUCGAAUGAGUGGCGAACGGGUGAGUAAAACAUAAGCAACCUACCCACGAAGACUUGGAUAAUCUCUGGAAACGGGGACCAAUACCGGGAAGAUAAUCGGAAGCCCUCGGCUGGUUAGUAAAGGUCAGAAAUACUGGCGGAUGGGCUUAUGUCCCAUUAGUUAGUUGGUGAGGUAACGGCACACCAAUACGAAGACGCGUAGCCGUCCUGAGGGGGUGAACGGCCGCAUUGGGACUGCGACCCGGCCCAGACUCCUACGCGAGGCAGCGGUAGGGAAUUUUAGGCGCUGGGGGCCACCCUGACCGCGCCACGCCGCGUGUGUGAAGACGGCCUUCGGGUUAUACUGCUCUGUUGUAAGGGAAGAACGGUAGGUAGCUAAUCUCUAAGUGACGGUACCUUAUCAGAAAGCCACGGCUAACUACGUG